UACGUAGGUGGCUAGCGUUGUCCGGAUUUACUGGGCGUAAAGAGCGCGCAGGCGGUCGUUCAAGUCGAGUGUGAAAGCCCCCGGCUCAACUGGGGAGGGUCAUUCGAUACUGAUCGACUUGAAGGCAGGAGAGGGAAGUGGAAUUCCGGGUGUAGUGGUGAAAUGCGUAGAUAUCCGGAGGAACACCAGUGGCGAAGGCGACUUUCUGGCCUGUUCUUGACGCUGAGGCGCGAAAGCUAGGGGAGCAAACGGG
rnacentral:rRNA from 1 species